UGGGGAAUAUUGCACAAUGGGCGCAAGCCUGAUGCAGCAACGCCGCGUGAGGGACGACGGCCUUCGGGUUGUAAACCCCUUUUGGCAGGGAAGAAGCGAAAGUGACGGUACCUGCAGAAAAAGCACCGGCUAACUACGUGCCAGCAGCCGCGGUGAUACGUAGGGUGCAAGCGUUGCCCGGAAUUAUUGGGCGUAAAGAGCUCGUGGGCGGUUUGUCGCGUCUGCUGUGAAAACCCGAGGCUCAACCUCGGGCCUGCAGUGGGUACGGGCAAACUAGAGUGCGGUAGGGGAUAUUGGAAUUCCUGGUGUAGCGGUGGAAUGCGCAGAUAUCAGGGGGAACACCGAUGGCGAAGGCAGAUCUCUGGGCCGUAACUGACGCUGAGGAGCGAAAGCAUGGGGAGCGAACA
rnacentral:rRNA from 1 species